rnacentral:tRNA from 1 species
CAGGAAAUAGUUUUUAAAAUAUUAAUUUUGGAGAUUAAAGUUAGAGAAAAGUCUCUUUUCCUGA